AUCCCCGAAUCCUGGGAGCCCUGCGUGGGGAGUGUCGAGGGCCUGGGUCGGGGGGCAAACUAGUGUGGAGCCAACUUUAAUGGAGGACCUAGCAAGUGCCAGGCAGCAUUCUGAGCCCUGGAAUCCGGUGAUGAACAUGACAGACAAGAUUCCUGCCCCCAAGGAGCUGCACCUUAAUAAGUCCCGCAAUGAAGGAGACAGAACAUAAACAGAGGAAAAUACACAAGAUGCCAGCUUGUGAGAAGUGCUAGCAAAAAAAGACACAAGUAUGUCCAGAGAGUCUGAGGUGUAUACAGCUCAUUUCACCAAUGAAAAGGCACUGGCAACAUCUCCUAUGCAGAUUAGCCGCAGCCUCCGGUGCCGAUUUAGCAAAGCCAUGAUUGACCAGAUCCGAGGCUCGCUGCCCUGUGGAGCUGCUUCCUAAUUAUGUUACUUCAAGCACCCAUCCCCAGGGUGCAGGUUAAAGUUAACCAGCACACUAAUGUACAUCAAGCAGUGUAGGCGGAGGCGCAGUUCUGAAGACAGUCACCAAUACGCGGCAAAUACCUAUUGUGAGAUCCAUCACCUGCUGGAUGGGCCUGCUCCCUCUACCACUCCCCUCCCACCUGCGCCUGGGUUGGGGAACUGGCCCCUUGCUAACUAGUCUAAUCCCCUUCAGUUGGUCACAAGCCCUGUGGAGGACUCCUUCCCUCCUUUUCUCCUGCCCUCAUUCCUCCCUUCCUGCCUCUUUUUCCCUCCGCCCUCCCUUUCUUCUUUUUCUUUUUUUCCUUCUCUUCUUCCUGCUUCCUUCACUAGUAGUUACUGGCACCCACUAUGUACCAGCCACUGUGCUGGGCACGGAUGGACACACAUCAGCCCCUGCCCGCAUGGUGGAACAGGGAUAUGGGAGAGAAAGACAACAAACAACUCGGUGUACAAAUAGUCAACUACAGUGGAAAAGCAAAGAUUAAAUCCUCAUACCUCUCUGGAAAAGUGGAGGGGACCACAUUCCAGCAUCUGGUGCCUUGUUUGCCCCAAACAUGACUUCAAGUGAAUCGACAUAAUACUCUUCCAGAGGGAAAGCAGAACCAUCUGCAGGGCUGAGGGACCAAGAAACACAGUGAGGAAUUCCACAGGAGGCCCACGCGGAGGGAUGUGACACCCCAGGUGGACUCUAGGGGACGCUCACUUGGAACUUGCAUCACCCGGAACUGUGUCUGCCACUGUGACUUCAGAGCAGCACAGACCUGAGGUGGAUCCAGCAAUGCCCACAACUGUCCAACAAUUUCACUUUUCCGAGGCUCAGUUUCCAUGUGGAAAAUGGACUGGCUCUGAGUAUUAAAUGAGGAUGAAUGUCCA
ensembl:lncRNA LINC02292 long intergenic non-protein coding RNA 2292